UGACCGCUCCUGUCGCCUAAGUGGUUGGGCCUCCGCCUCAGAUGCAGAAGGUCGCAGGUUUGAACCCAGCCGAGUCAA